CGACGAUCAGUAGCCGGACUGAGAGGUUGAUCGGCCACAUUGGGACUGAGACACGCCCCAGACUCCUACGGGAGGCAGCAGUGGGGAAUAUUGGACAAUGGGGGAAACCCUUAUCCAGCGACGCCGCGUGAGGGAAGAAGGUUUUCGGAUUGUAAACCUCUGUCAGUGGGGACGAUAAUGACGGUACCCACGGAGGAAGCCACGGCUAACUACGUGCCAGCAGCCGCGGUAAUACGUAGGUGGCAAGCGUUGUCCGGAAUUACUGGGUGUAAAGGGAGCGUAGGCGGGAUGUCAAGUCAGAAGUGAAAAUUAUGGGCUCAACUCAUAACCUGCUUUUGAAACUGAUAUUCUUGAGUGAAGUAGAGGCAAGCGGAAUUCCUAGUGUAGCGGUGAAAUGCGUAGAUAUUAGGAGGAACACCAGUGGCGAAGGCGGCUUGCUGGGCUUUUACUGACGCUGAGGCUCGAAAGCGUGGGGAGCAAACAGGAUUAGAUACCCUGGUAGUCCACGCUGUAAACGAUGAUUACUAGGUGUGGGGGGAUUGAACCCUUCC
rnacentral:rRNA from 1 species